rnacentral:tRNA from 1 species
AAUCUUAUAUUUUAUAUAAAAUAUUAAAUUGCAAAUUUAAAGAUGAUUUUUCUAAGAUUU